UGCCUCAGUAACGGCGAGUGAAGCGGCAACAGCUCAAAUUUGAAAUCUGGCCUCUUUGGGGUCCGAGUUGUAAUUUGUAGAGGAUGUUUCGGGUACCGCCUCGGUUUAAAUUUCUUGGAACAGAAUGUCAAAGAGGGUGAGAAUCCCGUCUUGGACCGGCGGUAGGGCCCAUGUGAAACUCCUUCGACGAGUCGAGUUGUUUGGGAAUGCAGCUCAAAAUGGGUGGUAAAUUUCAUCUAAAGCUAAAUAUUGGCCAGAGACCGAUAGCGCACAAGUAGAGUGAUCGAAAGAUGAAAAGCACUUUGAAAAGAGAGUUAAACAGUAUGUGAAAUUGUUGAAAGGGAAGCGCUUACAACCAGACUUGCGCGCGGCGGUUCCCCCUUCCUUUUGGUUGGGCUACUCCGUCGUGUCCAGGCCAACAUCGGUUCUGGGGGUCGGUUAAAGACCCUGGGAAUGUACCUACCCUUCGGGCGUAGACUUAUAGCCCAGGGUGUCAUGCGACCUCCCGGGACCGAGGAACGCGCUUCGGCUCGGAUGUUGGCGUAAUGGUUGUCAGCGACCCGUCUUGAAACACGGACCAAGGAGUCUAACAUCUAUGCGAGUGUUUGGGUGUCAAACCCGGAACGCGAAAUGAUAGUGAACGGAGGUAGGAAGCCAUGAGGCUGCACUAU
rnacentral:rRNA from 1 species